rnacentral:misc_RNA from 1 species
AAAUGCGAUAAGUAAUGUGAAUUGCAGAAUUCCGUGAAUCAUCGAAUCUUUGAACGCACAUUGCGCCCUCUGGUAUUCCGGGGGGCAUGCCUGUCCGAGCGUCAUUGCGAACCCCUCAAGCACGGCUUGUGUGAUGGGCCCUCCCGCGUCUUGGUCGUCAAGACGGGCCCGAAAUGCAGUGGCGGCUUCGCGGUUAUCCGAUCAGCCAGAGCGUAUGGGGACUCUCUCUCUGUCACACGCCCGCGGCGCGGACCGACGCCUGUCGACCUUUAUUCAUCUUUUCUCGGUUGACCUCGGAUCAGGUAGAGAUACCCGCUGAACUUAGGC